rnacentral:rRNA from 1 species
AACGAACGCUGGCGGCAUGCCUAACACAUGCAAGUCGAACGAGACCUUCGGGUCUAGUGGCGCACGGGUGCGUAACGCGUGGGAACUUGCCCUUAGGCUCGGAAUAACUCCCCGAAAGGGGUGCUAAUACCGGAUCAUGUCUUCGGACCAAAGAUUUAUCGCCUUUGGAUGGGCCCGCGUUGGGUUAGCUAGUUGGUAGGGUAAAAGCCUACCAAGGCGACGAUCCAUAGCUGGUCUGAGAGGAUGAUCAGCCACACUGGGACUGAGACACGGCCCAGACUCCUACGGGAGGCAGCAGUGGGGAAUAUUGGACAAUGGGCGAAAGCCUGAUCCAGCAAUGCCGCGUGAGUGAUGAAGGCCUUAGGGUUGUAAAGCUCUUUUACCCGGGAUGAUAAUGACAGUACCGGGAGAAUAAGCUCCGGCUAACUCCGUG